AGCACUUUGAAGAGAGAGUUCAAGAGUACGUGAAACCGUUUAGGGGUAAACCUGAGAAACCCGAAAGGUCGAAGGGAGAAAUUCAUUCGCGUUUCGACGCAGGCGUGGGACGGGGUCCGGAGCGACGGAACACCGUUUUUUCGGAAUGGUAGUUUCGCGCCCUCCGUCUUUCGAACCGGCGGCGAACGCGUGCACUUUUCUCCUGGUAGGACGUCGCGAUCCGUCGGGUGUCGGUCUACGACUUGCGGUGGAGCCCGCCCGUCUCGUCUUUCGUACGUGCGGACGGACCCGCUUGUUCCGGCCGACUCGCUCGACGGUAUACGUAAGGUCGGAGGCCGCUCGUUUUUUAAGGAGCGUUCGACUCGUCGCAAGCGCGCCACGUGCGUCGGCACGCGGACCCGGUGCCGCGUCCGACCUCUGGUGACUGUUGGCGACGAAGUUCUCGGACAGACCUCUAUUUUUCAAUCGAAGACCGAUCGGCGACGCUAUAGCUUUGGGUACUUUCAGGACCCGUCUUG
rnacentral:rRNA from 1 species